rnacentral:lncRNA from 1 species
UUGCACUUUUCAAGUUUAAUGUCAUCACAUUUAUCUAUUUGGGGAUUUGAUGUCUAUGGUUUGUACAUCUCCAAAAACUCAACUGAACUCAAUUCAUAUUUUUUCUAAGUUCUACAAAGGACUUAUAUUUACAUUAUUGUCAUACUUUGAGUUAGUUUUGUAAAUGAUGGCAGAGAGGAAGUCUGACUACAUUUAUUUAUAUGAGAAGCCCAGUUGUCACAGGGCCAUCUACUGAAACGCCAUUCUUCCUCCACUGGACAGACUUAGUGACCUCAUCUAGAGUCCAGCUGACCACAGAUGUGAAGGCUUCCUUCUAGAAUCAUGCAUUUCUAUUCCACUGGCCUGAAUGACAGUCUACAUGUCCAUGUCACACUAUUUUGACUGCUGUGGCUUUGUAGCAAGUUUUGAAAUCAGGACUUCUGUGCUUACAGAGUCCAGAAGACGGUGCCCCCACACCCUUGGAACUGGAGUUACAGACAGUU